rnacentral:rRNA from 1 species
AUAACCGGCGAUUUCCGAAUGGGGAAACCCAGUGUGUUUCGACACACUAUCAUUAACUGAAUCCAUAGGUUAAUGAGGCGAACCGGGGGAACUGAAACAUCUAAGUACCCCGAGGAAAAGAAAUCAACCGAGAUUCCCCCAGUAGCGGCGAGCGAACGGGGAGCAGCCCAGAGCCUGAAUCAGUGUGUGUGUUAGUGGAAGCGUCUGGAAAGGCGCGCGAUACAGGGUGACAGCCCCGUACACAAAAAUGCACAUGCUGUGAGCUCGAUGAGUAGGGCGGGACACGUGGUAUCCUGUCUGAAUAUGGGGGGACCAUCCUCCAAGGCUAAAUACUCCUGACUGACCGAUAGUGAACCAGUACCGUGAGGGAAAGGCGAAAAGAACCCCGGCGAGGGGAGUGAAAAAGAACCUGAAACCGUGUACGUACAAGCAGUGGGAGCACGCUUAGGCGUGUGACUGCGUACCUUUUGUAUAAUGGGUCAGCGACUUAUAUUCUGUAGCAAGGUUAACCGAAUAGGGGAGCCGAAGGGAAACCGAGUCUUAACUGGGCGUUAAGUUGCAGGGUAUAGACCCGAAACCCGGUGAUCUAGCCAUGGGCAGGUUGAAGGUUGGGUAACACUAACUGGAGGACCGAACCGACUAAUGUUGAAAAAUUAGCGGAUGACUUGUGGCUGGGGGUGAAAGGCCAAUCAAACCGGGAGAUAGCUGGUUCUCCCCGAAAGCUAUUUAGGUAGCGCCUCGUGAAUUCAUCUCCGGGGGUAGAGCACUGUUUCGGCAAGGGGGUCAUCCCGACUUACCAACCCGAUGCAAACUGCGAAUACCGGAGAAUGUUAUCACGGGAGACACACGGCGGGUGCUAACGUCCGUCGUGAAGAGGGAAACAACCCAGACCGCCAGCUAAGGUCCCAAAGUCAUGGUUAAGUGGGAAACGAUGUGGGAAGGCCCAGACAGCCAGGAUGUUGGCUUAGAAGCAGCCAUCAUUUAAAGAAAGCGUAAUAGCUCACUGGUCGAGUCGGCCUGCGCGGAAGAUGUAACGGGGCUAAACCAUGCACCGAAGCUGCGGCAGCGACGCUGAUGCGUUGUUGGGUAGGGGAGCGUUCUGUAAGCCUGCGAAGGUGUGCUGUGAGGCAUGCUGGAGGUAUCAGAAGUGCGAAUGCUGACAUAAGUAACGAUAAAGCGGGUGAAAAGCCCGCUCGCCGGAAGACCAAGGGUUCCUGUCCAACGUUAAUCGGGGCAGGGUGAGUCGACCCCUAAGGCGAGGCCGAAAGGCGUAGUCGAUGGGAAACAGGUUAAUAUUCCUGUACUUGGUGUUACUGCGAAGGGGGGACGGAGAAGGCUAUGUUGGCCGGGCGACGGUUGUCCCGGUUUAAGCGUGUAGGCUGGUUUUCCAGGCAAAUCCGGAAAAUCAAGGCUGAGGCGUGAUGACGAGGCACUACGGUGCUGAAGCAACAAAUGCCCUGCUUCCAGGAAAAGCCUCUAAGCAUCAGGUAACAUCAAAUCGUACCCCAAACCGACACAGGUGGUCAGGUAGAGAAUACCAAGGCGCUUGAGAGAACUCGGGUGAAGGAACUAGGCAAAAUGGUGCCGUAACUUCGGGAGAAGGCACGCUGAUAUGUAGGUGAGGUCCCUCGCGGAUGGAGCUGAAAUCAGUCGAAGAUACCAGCUGGCUGCAACUGUUUAUUAAAAACACAGCACUGUGCAAACACGAAAGUGGACGUAUACGGUGUGACGCCUGCCCGGUGCCGGAAGGUUAAUUGAUGGGGUUAGCGCAAGCGAAGCUCUUGAUCGAAGCCCCGGUAAACGGCGGCCGUAACUAUAACGGUCCUAAGGUAGCGAAAUUCCUUGUCGGGUAAGUUCCGACCUGCACGAAUGGCGUAAUGAUGGCCAGGCUGUCUCCACCCGAGACUCAGUGAAAUUGAACUCGCUGUGAAGAUGCAGUGUACCCGCGGCAAGACGGAAAGACCCCGUGAACCUUUACUAUAGCUUGACACUGAACAUUGAGCCUUGAUGUGUAGGAUAGGUGGGAGGCUUAGAAGUGUGGACGCCAGUCUGCAUGGAGCCGACCUUGAAAUACCACCCUUUAAUGUUUGAUGUUCUAACGUUGACCCGUAAUCCGGGUUGCGGACAGUGUCUGGUGGGUAGUUUGACUGGGGCGGUCUCCUCCUAAAGAGUAACGGAGGAGCACGAAGGUUGGCUAAUCCUGGUCGGACAUCAGGAGGUUAGUGCAAUGGCAUAAGCCAGCUUGACUGCGAGCGUGACGGCGCGAGCAGGUGCGAAAGCAGGUCAUAGUGAUCCGGUGGUUCUGAAUGGAAGGGCCAUCGCUCAACGGAUAAAAGGUACUCCGGGGAUAACAGGCUGAUACCGCCCAAGAGUUCAUAUCGACGGCGGUGUUUGGCACCUCGAUGUCGGCUCAUCACAUCCUGGGGCUGAAGUAGGUCCCAAGGGUAUGGCUGUUCGCCAUUUAAAGUGGUACGCGAGCUGGGUUUAGAACGUCGUGAGACAGUUCGGUCCCUAUCUGCCGUGGGCGCUGGAGAACUGAGGGGGGCUGCUCCUAGUACGAGAGGACCGGAGUGGACGCAUCACUGGUGUUCGGGUUGUCAUGCCAAUGGCACUGCCCGGUAGCUAAAUGCGGAAGAGAUAAGUGCUGAAAGCAUCUAAGCACGAAACUUGCCCCGAGAUGAGUUCUCCCUGACUCCUUGAGAGUCCUGAAGGAACGUUGAAGACGACGACGUUGAUAGGCCGGGUGUGUAAGCGCAGCGAUGCGUUGAGCUAACCGGUACUAAUGAACCGUGAGGCUUAACCUU